rnacentral:rRNA from 1 species
UGGGGAAUAUUGGACAAUGGGCGCAAGCCUGAUCCAGCCAUGCCGCGUGGGUGAAGAAGGCCUUCGGGUUGUAAAGCCCUUUUGUUGGGAAAGAAAAGCAGUCGGUUAAUACCCGAUUGUUCUGACGGUACCCAAAGAAUAAGCACCGGCUAACUUCGUGCCAGCAGCCGCGGUAAUACGAAGGGUGCAAGCGUUACUCGGAAUUACUGGGCGUAAAGCGUGCGUAGGUGGUGGUUUAAGUCUGUUGUGAAAGCCCUGGGCUCAACCUGGGAAUUGCAGUGGAUACUGGGUCACUAGAGUGUGGUAGAGGGUAGCGGAAUUCCCGGUGUAGCAGUGAAAUGCGUAGAGAUCGGGAGGAACAUCCAGUCCGUGGCGAAGGCGGCUNCAUCGACCAACGACGACNNUGAGGCGAGAAAGUUGGGGAGCAAACAGGAUUAGAUACCCUGGUAGUCCACGCCCUAAACGAUGCGAACUGGAUGUUGGGUGCAAUUUGGCACGCAGUAUCGAAGCUAACGCGUUAAGUUCGCCGCCUGGGGAGUACGGUCGCAAGACUG